UGGGGUAACUAUAUUGAAGGCGGGCUGGAACCUCUCGGGGUUACAGCCUUGCUGAAUUAUUCACCCUUGUCUUUUGCGUACUUCUUGUUUCCUUGGUGGGUUCGCCCACCACUAGGACAAACAUAAACCUUUUGUAAUUGCAAUCAGCGUCAGUAACAAAUUAAUAAUUACAACUUUCAACAACGGAUCUCUUGGUUCUGGCAUCGAUGAAGAACGCAGCGAAAUGCGAUAAGUAGUGUGAAUUGCAGAAUUCAGUGAAUCAUCGAAUCUUUGAACGCACAUUGCGCCCUUUGGUAUUCCAAAGGGCAUGCCUGUUCGAGCGUCAUUUGUACCCUCAAGCUUUGCUUGGUGUUGGGCGUCUUGUCUCUAGCUUUGCUGGAGACUCGCCUUAAAGUAAUUGGCAGCCGGCCUACUGGUUUCGGAGCGCAGCACAAGUCGCACUCUCUAUCAGCAAAGGUCUAGCAUCCAUUAAGCCUUUUUUUCAACUUUUGACCUCGGAUCAGGUAGGGAUACCCGCUGAACUUAAGCAUAUCAAUAAGCGGAGGA
rnacentral:rRNA from 1 species